rnacentral:rRNA from 1 species
UGAGGAAUUUUGCGCAAUGGGAGCAACCCUGACGCAGCAAUACCGCGUGAGUGAAGAAGGUUUUCGGAUCGUAAAGCUCUGUUAUUGGGGAAGAAAAAAGACGGUACCCAAGAAGAAAGUCCCGGCUAACUACGUGCCAGCAGCCGCGGUAAUACGUAGGGGACAAGCGUUGUCCGGAUUUACUGGGCGUAAAGGGCACGCAGGCGGUUUUUUAAGUCAGAUGUGAAAGGUACCGGCUUAACCGGUGACAUGCAUUUGAAACUGAAAGACUUGAGUAUUGGAGAGGCAAGUGGAAUUCCUAGUGUAGCGGUGAGAUGCGUAGAUAUUAGGAGGAACACCGGUGGCGAAGGCGGCUUGCUGGACAAAUACUGACGCUGAGGUGCGAAAGCGUGGGGAGCAAACA